AUUGAACGCUGGCGGCAUGCUUUACACAUGCAAGUCGAACGGUAGAGGGGGCAACCCCUUGAGAGUGGCGAACGGGUGAGUAAUGCAUCGGAACGUGCCCAGUCGGGGGGGAUAACGCAGCGAAAGCUGUGCUAAUACCGCAUACGAUCUCUGGAUGAAAGCGGGGGACCGAAAGGCCUCGCGCGAUUGGAGCGGCCGAUGUCAGAUUAGGUAGUUGGUGGGGUAAAGGCCUACCAAGCCAACGAUCUGUAGCUGGUCUGAGAGGACGACCAGCCACACUGGGACUGAGACACGGCCCAGACUCCUACGGGAGGCAGCAGUGGGGAAUUUUGGACAAUGGGCGCAAGCCUGAUCCAGCAAUGCCGCGUGCAGGAAGAAGGCCUUCGGGUUGUAAACUGCUUUUGUACGGAACGAAACGGUCUGGGUUAAUACCCUGGGCUAAUGACGGUACCGUAAGAAUAAGCACCGGCUAACUACGUGCCAGCCGCCGCGGUAA
rnacentral:rRNA from 1 species